rnacentral:rRNA from 1 species
GACGAACGCUGGCGGCGUGCUUAACACAUGCAAGUCGUACGGUAAGGCCCUUUCGGGGGUACACGAGUGGCGAACGGGUGAGUAACACGUGAGUAACCUGCCCACAACUUUGGGAUAACGCUAGGAAACUGGUGCUAAUACUGGAUAUGUGCUCCUGCUGCAUGGUGGGGGUUGGAAAGCUCCGGCGGUUGUGGAUGGACUCGCGGCCUAUCAGCUUGUUGGUGGGGUAGUGGCCUACCAAGGCGGCGACGGGUAGCCGGCCUGAGAGGGUGACCGGCCACAUUGGGACUGAGGUACGGCCCAGACUCCUACGGGGGGCAGCAGUGGGGAAUAUUGCACAAUGGGCGCAAGCCUGAUGCAGCAACGCCGCGUGCGGGAUGACGGCCUUCGGGUUGUAAACCGCUUUCAGCAGGGACGAAGCUUUUUGUGACGGUACCUGCAGAAGAAGCACCGGCUAACUACGUG